AGAGUUUGAUCCUGGCUCAGGACGAACGCUGGCGGCGUGCUUAACACAUGCAAGUCGAACGGUGACGAGGAGCUUGCUCCUCUGAUCAGUGGCGAACGGGUGAGUAACACGUGAGCAACCUGCCCCAGACUCUGGGAUAACAGUUGGAAACAGCUGCUAAUACCGGAUACGAGACGGAGAGGCAUCUCUACCGACUGGAAAGUUUUUCGGUCUGGGAUGGACUCGCGGCCUAUCAGCUAGUUGGUGAGGUAAUGGCUCACCAAGGCGACGACGGGUAGCCGGCCUGAGAGGGCGACCGGCCACACUGGGACUGAGACACGGCCCAGACUCCUACGGGAGGCAGCAGUGGGGAGUAUUGCACAAUGGGCGAAAGCCUGAUGCAGCGACGCCGCGUGAGGGAUGACGGCCUUCGGGUUGUAAACCUCUUUCAGCAGGGAAGAAGCGAAAGUGACGGUACCUGCAGAAGAAGCACCGGCUAACUACGUGCCAGCAGCCGCGGUAAUACGUAGGGUGCGAGCGUUGUCCGGAAUUAUUGGGCGUAAAGAGCUUGUAGGCGGUUUGUCGCGUCUGCAGUGAAAAUCCGAGGCUCAACCUCGGACUUGCUGUGGGUACGGGCAGACUAGAGUAUGGUAGGGGAGACCGGAAUUCCUGGUGUAGCGGUGGAAUGCGCAGAUAUCAGGAGGAACACCGAUGGCGAAGGCAGGUCUCUGGGCCAUAACUGACGCUGAGAAGCGAAAGCAUGGGGAGCGAACAGGAUUAGAUGCCCUGGUAGUCCAUGCCGUAAACGUUGGGCGCUAGGUGUGGGGCUCAUUCCACGAGCUCCGUGCCGCAGCUAACGCAUUAAGCGCCCCGCCUGGGGAGUACGGCCGCAAGGCUAAAACUCAAAGGAAUUGACGGGGGCCCGCACAAGCGGCGGAGCAUGCGGAUUAAUUCGAUGCAACGCGAAGAACCUUACCAAGGCUUGACAUAUACCGGAAACAUCCAGAGAUGGGUGCCCCGCAAGGUCGGUAUACAGGUGCAUGGUUGUCGUCAGCUCGUGUCGCGAGAUGUUGGGUUAAGUCCCGCAACGAGCGCAACCCUCGUUCUAUGUUGCCAGCGCGUAAUGGCGGGGACUCAUAGGAGACUGCCGGGGUCAACUCGGAGGAAGGUGGGGAUGACGUCAAAUCAUCAUGCCCCUUAUGUCUUGGGCUUCACGCAUGCUACAAUGGCCGGUACAAAGGGCUGCGAUACCGCGAGGUGGAGCGAAUCCCAAAAAACCGGUCUCAGUUCGGAUUGGGGUCUGCAACUCGACCCCAUGAAGUCGGAGUCGCUAGUAAUCGCAGAUCAGCAACGCUGCGGUGAAUACGUUCCCGGGCCUUGUACACACCGCCCGUCAAGUCACGAAAGUCGGUAACACCCGAAGCCGGUGGCCCAACCCUUGUGGAGGGAGCCGUCGAAGGUGGGACUGGCAAUUGGGACUAAGUCGUAACAAGGUA
rnacentral:rRNA from 1 species